UACGUAGGGGGCAAGCGUUGUCCGGAUUUAUUGGGCGUAAAGAGCGUGUAGGCGGCCAAACAGGUCCACUGUGAAAACCCGAGGCUUAACCUCGUGGCUUGCGGUGGAUACGGGCAGACUAGAGGUAGGUAGGGGAGAAUGGAAUUCCCGGUGUAGCGGUGAAAUGCGCAGAUAUCGGGAGGAACACCGGUGGCGAAGGCGGUUCUCUGGGCCUUACCUGACGCUGAGGAGCGAAAGCGUGGGGAGCGAACAGG
rnacentral:rRNA from 1 species